rnacentral:rRNA from 1 species
UACGGAGGGUGCAAGCGUUGUCCGGAUUUAUUGGGUUUAAAGGGUGCGUAGGCGGCCCGGUAAGUCAGUGGUGAAAGCCUCCAGCUCAACUGGAGAACUGCCAUUGAUACUGCCGGGCUUGAGUACAGACGAGGUUGGCGGAAUUGAUUGUGUAGCGGUGAAAUGCAUAGAUACAAUCAAGAACUCCGAUUGCGUAGGCAGCUAACUAGGCUGUAACUGACGCUGAGGCACGAAAGCGUGGGGAGCGAACAGGAUUAGACACCUACCCGAGUCAGUCCAAGACCAUC